rnacentral:lncRNA from 1 species
UUUUUUUUUUUUUUUUUUUUUUUUUGAGACUGAGUCUUGCUCUAUUGCCCAGGCUGGAGUUCUGUGGUUGAAUCUCGGUUCACUGCAACCUCCACCUCCCAGGUUCAAGCAAUUCUCAUGCCUCAGCCUCCUGAGCAGCUGAGACUACAGGUGCUCACCACCAUGCCAGGCUAAUUUUUUUAUUUUUAGUAGAGAUGGGGUUUCAUCAUAUUGGCCAGGCUGGUCUUGAGCUCCUGACCUCAAGUGAUCCGCCUACCUCAGCCUCCCAAAGUGCUGGGAUUACAGGUGUGAGCCACCGCCCCUGGCCAAUAAUAAGGGUUCUUUAUGAAGAUUUGUGAGGGGCCAGUUUGGAGGGUUGGAUGGAGGGCUAGGCAGGCCAGUGAGAAGGGAAGCUGAGCAGCAAUUGUCCAGCUCACAGAAAAUGCUGUGGCCAGGACUGAGAUGGGGCAGGCAGAUGACAUCAGGGCUGUUCUUGGGGUUGAAUAAGCAGGACUUGGUGACAUUGGUCACAGGUGGUCGAGGAAGGGAGAAAUUUUAGACAACCCAGCCUCGAGUUCUUUCUGAGCCAGCUUUGAAAUUUUAAACAGCUGUGUUUUCUCACUUGGGCAAAGUCACUCAGUCCUGAGACUUCCCCCACUGCGGGCUCCAGGAGACCUGACCUUUCAGCAGUAUUUACAGUAUCGACCAGCUAAUUUUAGACACUAACAGCAGCAGGAUAAUAGGGUAAAAGGCGACCUCACUGGAGCUGCUGUAGCCGGUGCGCUUCCCAAGAUAGUGUCAUUCACGGAUGAAGCCAGGGUUCAUUGGAGGCCGACUUCGGGCCCAGCCUGGGCAUCGACGGUGUGUGUAUAAAUAACUCAUCCUUGUUAAGUCAGUAGAGCGAAGGCAUCUUUUCCAAGGGGGUGGCCCCCAGCUUUCUGGUUCAGGCUCUCUUCUGGCUGGACAUGGAUCCCCAGUGACCUCACCCACUCCCCUGCCUUCCCCAAACCCCUUCAGCACCUUCCUGUUUCCCAGUGUGCUCUGACCUUCACCUCAGCAGCCCUUCCUCCAAGGCUCUUCUAAGGCUGAGUUCCCACCUUGGCAGGGACUUCCUGGCGCAGGACAGAGCCAGAAGCGGGAGCACAGCAUCCCUGGGAUGGCAUUCCGGCAGUCACCAGACCAGUUAUUAGCCGUGGCCCUUAAGCAAGUUGUUCAACUACUCCGAGCCUCAGUUUCCGUAGCUGUAAAAUGGUGAUUGUCUUAGUGGAGCAAGUGUGAGAGACACUGGUGUGAGGGCAAGAGCUGGCUCCUUCCUUCUCCGAGAAGGGUUAACCCUCUAAGUAGCUCCUUGGAGCGCGGCAACACAUGCUGUUCCCUUGACGCCACCUCCAGGUCGAAUGCCUCUGUCUCUGUGUUUGCUGGAAACCGUCCAGCACCGUCUGGCCCUGCUGUGAGCAGCCUGUGGAGCUGCGUGCGGCCGCUCCCCCGUGGC